GCUUGGGUGGCAGAUUAAAUGCAGUUGGUUUAGGUCCAGUGGAUGGGUAGUGAAAUACCCCCCCGGUU
rnacentral:tRNA from 1 species